GUUAAAUAAACGAAGGCGGAAGUCCCAGAAGUCGAUCAUUACUGUGAAGGGAGAGGGCAGCAAAUACAUAGAAUCAUUAUUCUAAAGAGACACUUGACAAGUUCAGGCCCUGACCCCUGCUGGGUGGAGUGAGGUGAAUUUCCUUCCUGUUUCACGAAGGUCCUUCAUACAACAGCUCCUCCCUUCACCGGAAAUAGAGAUAAAAAUCGGAUGCAUCUACUCACUUCAUGAACAAAAUGAACAAUUACUUCCUUUACCAGUCUCACCACUAACAUACAACACGGGCUUCCUCAUGUGUUCCUCACGUCCAUGUGGAGCAGAAGCAGGAGAAGCUAAAGGACUUCCUCAAACAUUAGGCACACCUCCAGUAUGACCAUUGAUGGUUGUUUGUCAUGGCAACGGAUCUGGUUCAAGGGCGGAGACAAGCAUCUCGCAUGAGAAGGGGAGGUUACACUGUGAAUUAAGGCCUUGUCUAGUGGGUGUAUUUAUAAGUGGUGAAACCCGCCCAGCCCUGCAUGCCUCGGAUGCCAUGUAUGUUACCAGAGCUGUCACCAAAGGCCACAUACAUUCCCAAAGCCUUCAGCUUUAAAGGUAUGAGGUGGACCGUAAGAGUUGGCAACUACGGACUUCUGGGAUAAACUGCCAUACAGGGGCAAACCAAAUACACCUGACUCCAAACAUCUCAUCCCCUUCUGACCACUCUCAUCUCCAUAGAUGGUUCCAAGCUUGCAGCUGUUUCUAAAGGCGGGAACUCCUUUGAGUUUCAGCAGGACAUUAAUAUACAGGCCCCUCGUGAUUGUCCCUCUGCUAUCCCAGGCAGCUGUAGACUAGAGGUUAAGGGAGGACUCUAUCGCUCGGUCACCCCAACGAGGGAGUUCCGCUGUGGGAGGCCUGGCCUGACUCGUGAUGGGCAUGUAAAAAAAACGAUCAAAGCUCGACCAACAACUGGAGACUCACCACACACAUAAAGAGAAACAGAGAGUGAUCAAUAUGACAACGGUGUCAUGUGUCGGCCUGGGUUAUGUUAAAGAUAUAGCUUGAAGUGUACCGUUGUCAUUUCUGUGCUUGUGUGUAUUUUAUUAAAACAGAACGUUUGGGCGGGGCAUCAAAGGGCCUGGCCUUUUUUAAAAUAGCCAAUUGCCCUUUAGGUUGCGGCAGCCAUGGACUGUGAUUGCUUCUUGCUUGAAGCCGGGUGUAAAAAUAAUAAUCAUGAUAUACUUUAUUUUGCUUUCAUGAUUGUAAUUUUCAACAUUUGUUUACUUCUGUUACAUCACCAUGGCAACAAAAUCUUAACGCUCCAUAUGUUACAGGUAAGGUUAAAGUAUUUAUGAACUCCGAAAUGUUGUAAACAGACUUGGUUAUUUUAGAGUUUUGAUGACAUAAAAUGUUGUUACAAGGACAUCGGCCUUUUCCAAACAUAGGAGAGGUGUAUAGCACGGCCUCAUUCGUUACGUUCGCGUAAGGUUCACAUUCACUGGAAGCUCUGCAUUCUCAGCUGUUGGGAAUUCGCCGUCCAAAAUGAUUGUACUAAUGCCAUUUGGGCAAUGAUGGGUCCCUUACGACUAGAUUAAACAUGUGAUGUACAUU